CUCCUAUUUAUAAAACCAGAGGGGGUGCCAACCAAGAACUCAUAUCCCAAAUUAAUUAUUGUAUCAGAUAACCAGAGUUCCUUCAAGCAGAAGAACUUAUCUAGUUCUAGAUAUGAUGAUUCCUUCUCCUAUGAGUGCACUAAAAUUAAGGGAUGCAUUUGGCAUCCUAUCCUAAUUCAAAUUAAUCUAGAAAAUGCCAUG
rnacentral:lncRNA from 1 species